AUCCCGAGCCACCUGUGACAUCAAGAUCAAGAUGGAGUGAGUGAACAGACACCCUAUGGAGUUAUUCGUGUGCGGUGAGAGACUUACACGUUGUUAUUUGCAUGCGUGACUAACUCUACAGCUGUGUCACUGUGCUCCUGUGUGCUGUGUUACGUCUACGUCUUGAGGUGACGGUCAGGGAUUAGCACAUCUCACAUCUGAGGGUGGACGUGCCGCUCUCUUCCCUAACUGAACUUUGCCUAUUAUUAUUGGUGUUGUGUCUCGCCAUGCCACCCAAGCUUUCAAAAUACCCUGGUCCUGCUGGCCACUCGUCGAGAACUCCAAAGCAAGAUGGCAUUAUCCCGAAAACAAAAGGACUGGUUGGUACUCGAUCCCAGAAAGGAGGAGACGGUGGGACCCCCGAUCAGCUGAUCAUGGUGGCACGCCGGUAUCAACUCGGACUGAUGGUCAACCUGGUGGGUCUGUUGUGUCUCCUUGUGCGGGUGAUUUUGACAUGCGGCAGCUUGGGGUCGCCCGCAGGGUCCUCCGCCCCAAGGGAAUGACCAGGACAUGCGCCUCCCCCCGCCAGGCAUGGGGGGGGGAGGUGGUGGAGGUGGAGCGCCGUCACACCAUGAUAACAGGUUUCCCCGUGACCCGCGUGCCGAUUUCGUUGACCAGCGGGGCAUACAGUGCUUCUGAGAGCCCCCGCCCCAGCCCUG